rnacentral:rRNA from 1 species
GACGAACCGUGCGAACGUUGUUCGGAAUCACUGGGCUUAAAGGGCGCGUAGGCGGUCGACCAAGUCUGGGGUGAAAUCUUUCGGCUUAACCGGAAAAGGGCCUUGGAUACUGGUCGGCUCGAGGGAGGUAGGGGCAGCUGGAACUUCCGGUGGAGCGGUGAAAUGCGUUGAUAUCGGAAGGAACGCCGGUGGCGAAAGCGAGCUGCUGGACCUUUUCUGACGCUGAGGCGCGAAAGCUAGGGGAGCAAACGGG